UACAGAGGUCUCAAGCGUUUGUUCGGAUUCAUUGGGCGUAAAGGGUGCGUAGGCGGCGCGGUAAGUCGGGUGUGAAAUCUUGGAGCUUAACUCCGAAACUGCAUUCGAUACUGCCGUGCUUGAGGACUGGAGAGGAGACUGGAAUUUACGGUGUAGCGGUGAAAUGCGUAGAUAUCGUAAGGAAGACCAGUGGCGAAGGCAGGUCUCUGGGCCGAUACUGACGCUGAGGAGCGAAAGCGUGGGGGAGCAAACAGG
rnacentral:rRNA from 1 species